rnacentral:rRNA from 1 species
GGCCUAACACAUGCAAGUCGAGCGGUAGAGAGAAGCUUGCUUCUCUUGAGAGCGGCGGACGGGUGAGUAAUGUCUGGGAAACUGCCUGAUGGAGGGGGAUAACUACUGGAAACGGUAGCUAAUACCGCAUAACGUCUUCGGACCAAAGAGGGGGACCUUCGGGCCUCUUGCCAUCAGAUGUGCCCAGAUGGGAUUAGCUAGUAGGUGAGGUAAUGGCUCACCUAGGCGACGAUCCCUAGCUGGUCUGAGAGGAUGACCAGCCACACUGGAACUGAGACGCGGUCCAGACUCCUACGGGAGGCAGCAGUGGGGAAUAUUGCACAAUGGGCGCAAGCCUGAUGCAGCCAUGCCGCGUGUAUGAAGAAGGCCUUCGGGUUGUAAAGUACUUUCAGCGAGGAGGAAGGCAUUGUGGUUAAUAACCGCAGUGAUUGACGUUACUCGCAGAAGAAG